AGAGGACCAGCUAUAGGUUGUGUCGGAGAGGAUGUAGGAUAUGUAUCGCUGGUGGAUGUAGGAUAUGUAUCGCUGGUGGAUGUAGGAUAUGUAUCGCUGGUGUUGAUGUCCUCAUCAGGGCUGAAACAAGGAACGAACUAGCACCACGUUAGUUAUAAAAGCGAGCUGAAUAAGCGUUCGACGAUGGUACUGUGCUGGUCCUAGGCUAGACCGUGCUAGAGACGCGAGCCUGGACACAAAGGAAAACCACAGCACACCCCCGAAAACAAGGUGGGACAAACCUAAAAUCAAUAUGAAAAACAGCCCCUUUUUUGAAUCUUUUCUCUUUUCUUUUUUUUCUUUUUUUUCUUUUUUUUUGGGCAACCUCAAAAACUGAUUAUAUGAACAAAAGAAUACAAAAGAGCAAUUCGCUCCACACACUUUUUUCGCUCCACACACACACUCUCUCUCUCUAGAGUAAGGCCGAACAAGUAGAGUUAUCUUUCUUUUUGAACUCAGAUUGGAACUCUACUCGAUCCGGACCAAGACCACAGUUCAAUUCAGACUUCGCAACAGAUUCGACAGAGAGAAGAUAUGGUAAUACUCGGCUGUGUAUAGAUGGUGACAAGAACUCGAAACUCUAAAGGACUAGACACUAAGACCAGCAACUCGACACAAACCAAAGCAACGCAAAUUCAACAAGCCCUAACUAAAACGGUACUAGCCAAGGCACAAAGGUUUAAUAGGAUUAUGGAAAAACUAAUCUACUAUAUUUUUUUGGCUUUUCUGGACUAUAGGAAAUUAAUUAAAAACAGCAAAGGAUUAGAAGUCUCUCACCGAAGAACCUUGCUCUGAUACCAACUGAUGCGAGCCCGCUAGGGUUUUUGGCCUGAUCUUUCGAUGAGAGGCGCUGGAUAACUCGAUUAAUGGAUGGAGAUGACGUUCACGGCCCGACUACAGCCCUCAAGACCGCGCCUUAGCAACCGAUACACCACGUCCAACAGCCGUCACGAUCUUGUGGAGCGCGACAACCAGCCCCUAGGGCUCCCGUCCUGCAAGCAAUCGAAGGACUAGCAAGAACGAGGAAACAAGCACUGAGUUUGCAAGAUGAAUUGAAGGUUUUAAACUGAAUCUUAAUCAACAAUGGGGUUCCGAAGACAAGGAGGCGGGCGGCUGAUCCUGCACGUGCGCCUACAAGCAAGUAGCGAAGGCUAAACUUGAUCUAAACAAAACCCAGUUGUUCAUGGCGGCUCUAGAUGUAAAUAAAUAGAGGGGAGGACGACCAAAGGGGUGCUAGAGUCGUCCUCCAACCCUAGGACGCGUCCCUAAUGGACUCAACUUGAUACAUGGGCCAUUGGUCCAUAAUAGGGUGACGCAGCACCAAAACAGAAAAAGGUGUCGGCACGAAAACAAGGACUGCGCCCGACUCAUAAGCCGCAUAGAUAUGUGGUUGGACCCAUUGGAAAGUAGACUUCAUGAGCUUUCCAACAAGUAUAGGAACGUCCCAGUUGGAGUCCAUAUGACGCCGUGGUGAUCCAUACAAGUUAGAGUUAUUUUCCAGUCCGAAUCUAACUCCCAAAACGUGUUGGGUUUGGACUCUUUGUUUCCUUGCUUUAGAAACGACGUGGUAACUUGACAGAGGAUGUUGUGGAGGCUUGGACCUGAUCUCCAAUCACCUUUGUUAAGUUAUCACUCUUCCCAUAUGCAAUCAGCCCUUGAAGUUGGUGUUGCCUCAAAUUCUGAAUGCAGUUGAACCUUCCCUUGCUGAUCUUGUCCAUUAUUCCUGAGCAACACCAAAGUGCACGUGUCUCCAUUGUCUAAAUAUGAUUGACAAGAGUUUAAUGCUGAACUUACUUGAAGGUUGAGUUGACGGGCACGAGCACGAGUAAGAGGACCAGCUAUAGGUUGUGUCGGAGAGGAUGUAGGAUAUGUAUCGCUGGUGGAUGUAGGAUAUGUAUCGCUGGUGGAUGUAGGAUAUGUAUCGCUGGUGUUGAUGUCCUCAUCAGGGCUGAAACAAGGAACGAACUAGCACCACGUUAGUUAUAAAAGCGAGCUGAAUAAGCGUUCGACGAUGGUACUGUGCUGGUCCUAGGCUAGACCGUGCUAGAGACGCGAGCCUGGACACAAAGGAAAACCACAGCACACCCCCGAAAACAAGGUGGGACAAACCUAAAAUCAAUAUGAAAAACAGCCCCUUUUUUUGAAUCUUUUCUCUUUUCUUUUUUUUUUCUUUUUUUUCUUUUUUUUGGGCAACCUCAAAAACUGAUUAUAUGAACAAAAGAAUACAAAAGAGCAAUUCGCUCCACACACUUUUUUCGCUCCACACACACACUCUCUCUCUCUAGAGUAAGGCCGAACAAGUAGAGUUAUCUUUCUUUUUGAACUCAGAUUGGAACUCUACUCGAUCCGGACCAAGACCACAGUUCAAUUCAGACUUCGCAACAGAUUCGACAGAGAGAAGAUAUGGUAAUACUCGGCUGUGUAUAGAUGGUGACAAGAACUCGAAACUCUAAAGGACUAGACACUAAGACCAGCAACUCGACACAAACCGAAGCAACGCAAAUUCAACAAGCCCUAACUAAAACGGUACUAGCCAAGGCACAAAGGUUUAAUAGGAUUAUGGAAAAACUAAUCUACUAUAUUUUUUUGGCUUUUCUGGACUAUAGGAAAUUAAUUAAAAACAGCAAAGGAUUAGAAGUCUCUCACCGAAGAAC
rnacentral:lncRNA from 1 species